rnacentral:tRNA from 1 species
GUUCAGAACGGUUAGAACGCUGGCCUUGUAAUCCUGGGGUCUCGGGUUCGAUUCCCGG